GAACGCUGGCGGCAUGCUUUACACAUGCAAGUCGAACGGUAACAGGCCGCAAGGUGCUGACGAGUGGCGAACGGGUGAGUAAUGCAUCGGAACGUGCCCGGUCGUGGGGGAUAACACUUCGAAAGAAGUGCUAAUACCGCAUACGAUCUGAGGAUGAAAGCGGGGGACCGUAAGGCCUCGCGCGAUCGGAGCGGCCGAUGUCAGAUUAGGUAGUUGGUGGGGUAAAGGCUCACCAAGCCAACGAUCUGUAGCUGGUCUGAGAGGACGACCAGCCACACUGGGACUGAGACACGGCCCAGACUCCUACGGGAGGCAGCAGUGGGGAAUUUUGGACAAUGGGCGCAGGCCUGAUCCAGCAAUGCCGCGUGCAGGAAGAAGGCCUUCGGGUUGUAAACUGCUUUUGUACGGAACGAAACGGUCCGGGUUAAUACCCUGGGCUAAUGACGGUACCGUAAGAAUCAGCACCGGCUAACUACGUGCCAGCAGCCGCGGUAAUACGUAGGGUGCAAGCGUUAAUCGGAAUUACUGGGCGUAAAGCGUGCGCAGGCGGUUUUGUAAGACAGGCGUGAAAUCCCCGUGCUCAACCUGGGAAUUGCGCUUGUGACUGCAAGGCUGGAGUGCGGCAGAGGGGGAUGGAAUUCCGCGUGUAGCAGUGAAAUGCGUAGAUAUGCGGAGGUAACACCGAUGGCGAAGGCAAUCCCCUGGGCCUGCACUGACGCUCAUGCACGAAAGCGUGGGGAGCAAGACAGUGAUUAGAUACCCUGGUAGUCCACGCCCCUAAACGAUGUCAACUGGUUGUUGGGAAUUUGCUUUCUCAGUAACGAAGCUAACGCGUGAAGUUGACCGCCUGGGGAGUACGGCCGCAGGGUUGAAACUCAAGGGAAUUGACGGGGACCCGCACAAGCGGUGGAUGAUGUGGUUUAAUUCGAUGCAACGCGAAAAACCUUACCCACCUUUGACAUGGCAGGAAGUUUCCAGAGAUGGAUUCGUGCUCGAAAGAGAACCUGCGCACAGGUGCUGCAUGGCUGUUGUCAGCUCGUGUCGUGAGAUGUUGGGUUAAGUCCCGCAACGAGCGCAACCCUUGCCAUUAGUUGCUACGAAAGGGCACUCUAAUGGGACUGCCGGUGACAAACCGGAGGAAGGUGGGGAUGACGUCAAGUCCUCAUGGCCCUUAUAGGUGGGGCUACACACGUCAUACAAUGGCCGGUACAAAGGGCAGCCAACCCGCGAGGGGGAGCCAAUCCCAUAAAGCCGGUCGUAGUCCGGAUCGCAGUCUGCAACUCGACUGCGUGAAGUCGGAAUCGCUAGUAAUCGUGGAUCAGCAUGUCACGGUGAAUACGUUCCCGGGUCUUGUACACACCGCCCGUCACACCAUGGGAGCGGGUCUCGCCAGAAGUAGUUAGCCUAACCGCUAGGAGGGCGAUUACCACGGCGGGGUUUGUGACUGGGGUG
rnacentral:rRNA from 1 species